UAAGCUUCGAGGAGGAAAACGUAAUUAUGUCUUGUGAAUCCGCGCUAGAACGAAUAUGGGGGGGGGAGAGACGCCAUGGCGUUGUUUACAUCCCGGGGCCCAGUAGCAGGUCCCAGCCUCUUCCUUCUCGGGUGAUUUCUAGAGUAAAUAAUUGAGAGAAGACUACAAGUGUGUCCCAUCCCUGAAUUGGGAGUUCCCUGCUUUGUGCUUUAAGUCAGGCCAACAGGUUGAGACACAAGCUGUUUUGGUCAGGACUUGAGGAUGUUGACCAGAGUCCGCUAAUAUCCUUCAAUAUUUAGACACCUGCUCCAAGUGAUACGCCAUGACAGAAGUGUUCCGGUUCGGCCUCGUGCCCAUCGCUUGUCGUGCCCGGAAUGAGGACCGCAGCCAAGUGGCAUUGAGUCUCAACAACAAUGAAGUGAAUAUAUAUGGCAGAGCUGCAUCAGAGUGGAAGCU
rnacentral:misc_RNA from 1 species